rnacentral:rRNA from 1 species
UACAGAGGUCUCAACCGUUGUCCGGAUUUACUGGGCGUAAAGGGCGUGCAGGCGGUUUGUUAAGUGCAGAGUGAAAGCUCCCGGCUCAACUGGGAGAGGUCUUUGCAUACUGGCAAACUCGAGGGAGGCAGAGGAAAGUGGAAUUCCCGGUGUAGUGGUGAUAUGCGUAGAUAUCGGGAGGAACACCUGUGGCGAAGGCGGCUUUCUGGGCCUUACCUGACGCUGAGACGCGAAAGCGUGGGGAGCGAACCGG